rnacentral:rRNA from 1 species
AUUGAACGCUGGCGGUAUGCCUUACACAUGCAAGUCGAACGGCAGCGCGGACUUCGGUCUGGCGGCGAGUGGCGAACGGGUGAGUAAUACAUCGGAACGUACCCUGUUGUGGGGGAUAACUAGUCGAAAGAUUAGCUAAUACCGCAUACGACCUGAGGGUGAAAGUGGGGGACCGCAAGGCCUCACGCAGCAGGAGCGGCCGAUGUCUGAUUAGCUAGUUGGUGGGGUAAAGGCCCACCAAGGCGACGAUCAGUAGCUGGUCUGAGAGGACGAUCAGCCACACUGGGACUGAGACACGGCCCAGACCCCUACGGGAGGCAGCAGUGGGGAAUUUUGGACAAUGGGGGCAACCCUGAUCCAGCAAUGCCGCGUGUGUGAAGAAGGCCUUCGGGUUGUAAAGCACUUUUGUCCGGAAAGAAAUCGCGCUGGUUAAUACCUGGCGUGGAUGACGGUACCGGAAGAAUAAGCACCGGCUAACUACGUGCCAGCCGCCGCAGUAAAAC